rnacentral:rRNA from 1 species
AUGAGGAACAAUUUAUUGGAAUUUAUGAUUACAACGUAUGAUAGUAGUAGAAAGCGAUUUAUUAUUUGGCCAAAUACUGACGGCAUCAGUGUGCUUAAUGAAGAUGUUUAUAACAUAUUCGGGCUACGUAACAAGGGUGAUGAUGUCAGUAGCAUGAUAGCAACAGUACAACUAGAUGCCAAAAAAAUUUCAUAUGAUGAUGAUUUUGUGAGAAGGGCUGUACUGGUUCUUAUGGGUACAGUCUUAGCACCACAAUCCACCAAGUUUGUUCCUUAUCAUUAUUACAAAAUGGUGAAGGACGUGAACGCUAUCAAGUCUUACAAUUGGAACGAUUUCACGUUGGGGGUGUGCAUGGAUGCUAUUAAAAAAUCGGUCGAAGAUCUUGAAAAAUUCAAGUGGCCUAUCGGGAACUUGGCUCUUCUUCAGAAACGGAAGGGAAAAAGCGAGACGACUAUGACAACAUGCACGGGCAUGGCACCGACAAUAUUGAAAACUAUGUUAGCGAAGAGUAGAGACGUGCUAAGGUUGAACACGGAAGGUGUGCUGCACAAACCCAAUAAGAGGGACAACAAUGACGAAUUUGAUAAUGUAGGUGAAGGAGUUGGGAUGGACAAUGGCCAGUACAAGUCAUCAAAAUAA